AUACGAAGGGGGCUAGCGUUGUUCGGAUUUACUGGGCGUAAAGCGCACGUAGGCGGAUUGAUAAGUUAGGGGUGAAAUCCCGAGGCUCAACCUCGGAACUGCCUCUAAUACUGUCAAUCUCGAGACCGGAAGAGGUGAGUGGAACUCCUAGUGUAGAGGUGGAAUUCGUAGAUAUUAGGAAGAACACCAGUGGCGAAGGCGGCUCACUGGUCCGGUACUGACGCUGAGGUGCGAAAGCGUGGGGAGCGAACAGGAUUAGAAACCCUAGUAGUCC
rnacentral:rRNA from 1 species